rnacentral:rRNA from 1 species
AGUGAACGCUGGCGGUAGGCCUAACACAUGCAAGUCGAACGGCAGCACAGUAAGAGCUUGCUCUUAUGGGUGGCGAGUGGCGGACGGGUGAGGAAUACAUCGGAAUCUACUUUUUCGUGGGGAUAACGUAGGGAAACUUACGCUAAUACCGCAUACGACCUACGGGUGAAAGCAGGGGAUCUUCGGACCUUGCGCGAUUGAAUGAGCCGAUGUCGGAUUAGCUAGUUGGCGGGGUAAAGGCCCACCAAGGCGACGAUCCGUAG